rnacentral:rRNA from 1 species
UACAGAUGGUGCAAGCGUUAAUCGGAAUUACUGGGCGUAAAGCGUGCGUAGACGGUUACAUAAGUCGGGUGUGAAAGCCCCGGGCUCAACCUGGGAAUUGCAUUCGAGACUGCGUAGCUAGGGUGCGGAAGAGGGAAGCGGAAUUUCCGGUGUAGCGGUGAAAUGCGUAGAUAUCGGAAGGAACACCAGUGGCGAAAGCGGCUUCCUGGUCCAGCACCGACGUUCAGGCACGAAAGCGUGGGGAGCAAACAGG